rnacentral:rRNA from 1 species
GACGAACGCUGGCGGCGUGCUUAACACAUGCAAGUCGAACGCUGAACCCGCUUCUGGGGGGGCUGAGUGGCGUACGGGUGGGUAACACGUGGGCAACCUGCCCCCGUCUCUGGGAUAACUCCCAGAUAUUGGGGCUAAUACCGGCUGUGACCGCUGGCCGCAUGCUCUGGUUGUGGAAAGGGUUUCCGGUUGGGUAUGGGCCCGCGGCCUAUCAGCUUGAUGGUGGGGUAGUGGCCUACCAAGGCGACGACGGGUACCCCGCCUGGGAGGGUGAACGGCCAAGAUGGGAAUGGGAGACGGCAGAGGCGACUCCGGGAGGAAGGAGUGGAGAAUAAUGGGGAAUGGGCGGAAGACUGACGCAGUGACGCGGCGUGUGGAUGACGGCCGUCGGGUUGGAAAGCGCGUGCGGCAGGGACGAAGCGCAAGUGACGGUAUCUGAAGAGGAAGCACCGGCCAACUACGUG